AGUGAACGCUGGCGGUAGGCCUAACACAUGCAAGUCGAACGGCAGCACAGUAAGAGCUUGCUCUUACGGGUGGCGAGUGGCGGACGGGUGAGGAAUACAUCGGAAUCUACUUUUUCGUGGGGGAUAACGUAGGGAAACUUACGCUAAUACCGCAUACGACCUACGGGUGAAAGCAGGGGAUCUUCGGACCUUGCGCGAUUGAAUGAGCCGAUGUCGGAUUAGCUAGUUGGCGGGGUAAAGGCCCACCAAGGCGACGAUCCGUAGCUGGUCUGAGAGGAUGAUCAGCCACACUGGAACUGAGACACGGUCCAGACUCCGACGGGAGGCAGCAGUGGGGAAUAUUGGACAAGGGGCGCAAGCCUGAUCCAGCCAUACCGCGUGGGUGAAGAAGGCCUUCGGGUUGUAAAGCCCUUUUGUUGGGAAAGAAAAGCAGCAGGUUAAUACCCCGCUGUUCUGACGGUACCCAAAGAAUAAGCACCGGCUAACUUCGU
rnacentral:rRNA from 1 species